GACGAUAUGGCAAUAAGUACCUGUUGGUGUUCAUCGACACAUUCUCCGGGUGGGUAGAAGCCUUCCCCACAAAAACUGAAACUGCGCAAGUGGUCACAAAAAAACUCCUGGAAGAAAUCUUCCCACGUUUCGGAGUGCCUAAGGUAUUAGGAUCUGAUAACGGACCAGCUUUUGUUGCCCAGACUAAAGGCCCUUGAAUUCGUCCAAAAGACGGUGUGGAAACUCCUGGCAGACGCUUAUCGACCCGGAGAUCUCCGUGUGCCACAUCGGUUCCAAGUGGGAGACUCAGUAUACGUGAGGAGACACCAGACCAGAAACCUCGAGCCCCGCUGGAAAGGACCCUUUAUUGUCCUCUUGACGACACCGACAGCUAUAAAAGUAGAUGGCAUCUCCGCCUGGGUCCAUGCAUCUCACGUCAAGGCUGCUCCUCAGACUGAGAAUUGGACUAUG